AUCAAAUCUCCUCUUGUUUAAGUGGCUGGGGUUGGUCAUUUUGCUUUUCGCAAACCCUUAAGAGGAUACACUGACCCAGGGGCUCCUACAGGAGAAACUAGGUCAGUCAGUAAGGGAAGUACCUAACAGAGAUGCUUCAGGGCCCAUGAAAGUGCACAGUCUCCGGAGCGAACUCAGCUGGGGAUCUAGGACACCGAAAGCCAGAGAAGUCGGGUAUUCAGAUUCCAAAUCAUUGUGCUGAGGCAAUCCUGCCUUCGGCUGAAGAAAUAGGGAGCGGGGACAAUGCGUCAGGACGGCCUCUUUUUACUCAGCGUGAGCUUUGUUACUCACCCGAGGUGUUCUACCUUGAAUCAUGGCUUUUGUGAGGAAAACCAGGAUCAUGCAGAAGGAUGAAGUGCUAUUUCCUCAGUGGCACCUUCAGUGCUACUGACACUUUCAAGAAUAUGCGUGUCUAUGCAGCAGAAACAGACACCCUGAGAUGCUGGAUUUGAGAUAAUUCACUGAGUUUUAUCAACAUAUGUGAACACACAGAUUUUCAGCUAAUAUUAGAAGUUGAGAUGAGACUGAUUAACGUGACUCCUAGGCAGGCCUCAUCAUAUCUCCUAAAAGAAGUGCAAGCAUCCUAUUUGAAUACAUACCCUGGCCCUCCUCCUUUUUCCCUUGAGUUCCCUCUUGAGGUUAAUAAAACUUGAUGUAUGAGAUGACGUUGAGUGUCCCAGGCCCAAAGAAGUUCAGGAUGAGUACAAACAUGUGCAUACCGUGGUUAGAAGAUAAGAUUGCUUGGAGUUCUUUGCUUCAUUCUGACCACGUGCAGAUCAGCAUAGAUGGUGAGUGAGGAAAAGCUCUUCCUGUGGACACUUCUGAAUAAGUUCUAAUAACUUGACUAAAAUUUAUUCCAGAAAUAAAAUAUUCAGAGUGCUCAAUUAGAAAUAAAAAACUGGGCUCUGGCUUGAGAUGGUGUUGGUGGGUGAGGAUUCAGCAUUGCAGGUAGACUAUGGGACUGAGGGAUCAAGAUCAGGCAUUCCCAUGAGGAGAUACCAAAGUCAAGCCCAGUCAAGAGCUGUCAAUUCAAAGUCCAGGGGGAAACCAAGGUCAAGGACUAUGCACUACAGUCAGCAUCAAUGCCAGCACACAACAGAGAGUAAAGCAAGCGGAGAGCCUUCGGCUGGAAGUAUCUAAAGGCCAGAUGACUGGUGUAAUUUUCAGAAUUUUUUUGGCUGAAAAUUACAGAAAAUCCAACCCAAAAUGACUUAAUCAGGAAGAAAUUUGGUAGAUUACAAAACUGAAAAGUUCAGGGGGUUGGAUUAUUUCCAGGUAUGGUUUGAUACAGAGAUUGAACAAUGUCAGCAGAACCCAGUUUUCUCUGUCUCUUUCAG
rnacentral:lncRNA from 10 species